rnacentral:rRNA from 1 species
UACGGAGGGUGCAAGCGUUAUCCGGAUUCACUGGGUUUAAAGGGUGCGUAGGUGGAUCUAUAAGUCAGUGGUGAAAGCCCCGAGCUCAACUUGGGAAUUGCCAUUGAUACUGUAGAUCUUGAGUGCGGUUGAGGUAGGCGGAAUGUUGCAUGUAGCGGUGAAAUGCUUAGAUAUGCAACAGAACACCGAUUGCGAAGGCAGCUUACCAAGCCGAUACUGACACUGAUGCACGAAAGCGUGGGGAUCAAACAGG